UCCAAUGAGGAACGAACAGCCGACAGGGUGUCGAAGAGGAACACGUAGUCAAGCCAAUCGUUCUCGCCGAUCAACCAUAUAAGGAUAGUCGUCUUAAAAUUCCUGGUUUACUAAAUUCAAAGUUGGUAUUCAAGUAUUUGAAACUCCAUGGAGGUCAUGCACGAAAAAGCAAUAAAUAAGCUGUUGGUAACUGAGCUAAGGACAUUCAAAGUGCUGCUGUUUUCCAAUUUGUACCUUACGACUUUCCACACUAGCUUCUGGUCUUCCUAUUCUAUAAGUCUGGCUGAUAGGAUGGCAGAGACAGCAAGAAAUGGUGUGUUGAAUGUAGUGACUAAGAACCUUUUCAACCAUGGAGUGAUGACUGGGAUGUCAUAAGUGUACUGUGUCAACUCUCGACCUGAUUUUUCAUUGCUGAUUUUCAUGUUUGGACCUGGAUGAGCUAGUCGCUUAGCUUUCUCUUCAUCCAUAACUUUUAAAGAAAUUUUUGUCUCCAAACCAAAUAGGUUUUUCUAGGUAUGCAAUGUGGCUUCAUUACAUUACCUGGAGAUUAUGUUGUCCAAAAAGAAGCCUAGUACUCCUGCUGUGCUCAUGCUCAUGAGAACAGUGACUAUCUAACCGAAGAUAUGCAAUCGCCUGUAAACAUCAAGAUGGGCUUUCAUCCAUUGUGAAUGGGAAGGAAAGUGAACUAUCAUCGGGUGUGAUCUUCAUAUCGAUGGAUGCUGUGCGUGUCCUCUCAGUGACCCUAGAUCAAUACUGAGGGGAUCUAAUAAAGGGCUGUAAUGGUUGCAGAAAAACGAGCCAUUUGCUGCAAGAAUUGUGGAUACUUGGGAUAUCAAAACACAGCUGUUGAUGUAUCUGUAAGAUGUGGCCUUGCACUUACUACAUUCAUAUCAUAUUGAUCUUUACUUUACUAAUGGCAUUAAUGGACAGUUGGAU